GACGAACGCUGGCGGCGUGCUUAACACAUGCAAGUCGAACGGAAAGGCCCUGCUUUUGUGGGGUGCUCGAGUGGCGAACGGGUGAGUAACACGUGAGUAACCUGCCCUUGACUUUGGGAUAACUUCAGGAAACUGGGGCUAAUACCGGAUAGGAGCUCCUGCUGCAUGGUGGGGGUUGGAAAGUUUCGGCGGUUGGGGAUGGACUCGCGGCUUAUCAGCUUGUUGGUGGGGUAGUGGCUUACCAAGGCUUUGACGGGUAGCCGGCCUGAGAGGGUGACCGGCCACAUUGGGACUGAGAUACGGCCCAGACUCCUACGGGAGGCCGCAGUGGGGAAUAUUGCACAAUGGGCGGAAGCCUGAUGCAGCAACGCCGCGUGCGGGAUGACGGCCUUCGGGUUGUAAACCGCUUUCGCCUGUGACGAAGCGUGAGUGACGGUAAUGGGUAAAGAAGCACCGGCUAACUACGUGCCAGCAGCCGCGGUGAUACGUAGGGUGCGAGCGUUGUCCGGAUUUAUUGGGCGUAAAGGGCUCGUAGGUGGUUGAUCGCGUCGGAAGUGUAAUCUUGGGGCUUAACCCUGAGCGUGCUUUCGAUACGGGUUGACUUGAGGAAGGUAGGGGAGAAUGGAAUUCCUGGUGGAGCGGUGGAAUGCGCAGAUAUCAGGAGGAACACCAGUGGCGAAGGCGGUUCUCUGGGCCUUUCCUGACGCUGAGGAGCGAAAGCGUGGGGAGCGAACAGGCUUAGAUACCCUGGUAGUCCACGCUGUAAACGGUGGGUACUAGGUGUGGGGUCCAUUCCACGGGUUCCGUGCCGUAGCUAACGCUUUAAGUACCCCGCCUGGGGAGUACGGCCGCAAGGCUAAAACUCAAAGGAAUUGACGGGGCCCCGCACAAGCGGCGGAGCAUGCGGAUUAAUUCGAUGCAACGCGUAGAACCUUACCUGGGUUUGACAUGGAUCGGGAGUGCUCAGAGAUGGGUGUGCCUCUUUUGGGGUCGGUUCACAGGUGGUGCAUGGCUGUCGUCAGCUCGUGUCGUGAGAUGUCGGGUUAAGUCCCGCAACGAGCGCAACCCUUGUUCACUGUUGCCAGCACGUUAUGGUGGGGACUCAGUGGAGACCGCCGGGGUCAACUCGGAGGAAGGUGGGGAUGACGUCAAGUCAUCAUGCCCCUUAUGUCCAGGGCUUCACGCAUGCUACAAUGGCUGGUACAGAGAGUGGCGAGCCUGUGAGGGUGAGCGAAUCUCGGAAAGCCGGUCUCAGUUCGGAUUGGGGUCUGCAACUCGACCUCAUGAAGUCGGAGUCGCUAGUAAUCGCAGAUCAGCAACGCUGCGGUGAAUACGUUCCCGGG
rnacentral:rRNA from 1 species